AUGGAGAGCAGUGCGGGGCCAUUAGUGGCGGAAGCUUUAGCUAUGCGUUGGGGAAUUCAGUUGGCUAGAGUCCUGAAGCUGUCAAAGGUUGUUGUGCACUCUGAUGCGCUGCAGGUGGUGGACUGCGUGAAUAAAGUUAGAAUAUGCGUGGAUAUCGUUUCAGUUGUCAAUGACCGAAGUUGUUUGCUUAACGAUUUCUCUGAGUUUGUUGUUUUGUUUAUUGGUAGAGAUAGCAAUGUAGAAGCCCCACUCUUUAGUUGGGAUAGGUAA